AGUGAACGCUGGCGGUAGGCCUACACAUGCCAGUCGAACGGCAGCACAGUAAGAGCUUGCUCUUACGGGUGGCGAGUGGCGGACGGGUGAGGAAUACAUCGGAAUCUACUUUUUCGUGGGGGAUAACGUAGGGAAACUUACGCUAAUACCGCAUACGACCUACGGGUGAAAGCAGGGGAUCUUCGGACCUUGCGCGAUUGAAUGAGCCGAUGUCGAAUUAGCUAGUUGGCGGGGUAAAGGCCCACCAAGGCGACGAUCCGUAGCUGGUCUGAGAGGAUGAUCAGCCACACUGGAACUGAGACACGGUCCAGACUCCUACGGGAGGCAGCAGUGGGGAAUAUUGGACAAUGGGCGCAAGCCUGAUCCAGCCAUACCGCGUGGGUGAAGAAGGCCUUCGGGUUGUAAAGCCCUUUUGUUGGGAAAGAAAAGCAGCAGGUUAAUACCCCGCUGUUCUGACGGUACCCAAAGAAUAAGCACCGGCUAACUUCGUG
rnacentral:rRNA from 1 species